GGCAGCUGGUGGAGCGCACAAUUGGGGUCCUUAAAGGGCGGUUUCGUGUGCUCCACCGCACUGGUGGCGACAUCAUGUAUUCGCCGGAGAUGGCAAGUAAACUAGUGGUCCUGUGCGCUAUACUACACAACAUCGCGGUAAGGAGUAGCGUAGAGCUUCCUCAGACAGAGGAAUUGCCUGAUGAGGAGCCAGGGGUUGUCCGACACUUCGGUGGGGGGAGUGUUACACGGAGGGGGAGCCAAGUCAGGGCAAGCAUUGUUGCGGAAUAUUUCAGCUGAAUGAUCACACAAACUGUGGACGACCACAACGGCAAGCAACACAUGAGGCACCAUCUCAGCCCCCUUCCCCUUCUCACUCCCCCUCCACUUCCCAGUCCCCCUCCC